rnacentral:rRNA from 1 species
UACUUUUGAUCCUGGCUCAGGACGAACGCUGGCGGCGUGCCUAAGACAUGCAAGUCGAGCGGACUCCUACGGGAGUGAGCGGCGGACGGGUGAGGAACACGUGGGCAAUCUGCCCAUUGGACUGGAAUAACGCCUGGAAACGGGUGCUAAGGCCAGAUAGACACAGAAGAGGCCUCUCUUGUGUGGGAAAGAUGCUCCGGCAUCGCCAGUGGAGGAGCCCGCGGCGCAUUAGCUGGUUGGCGGGGUAACGGCCCACCAAGGCGACGAUGCGUAGCCGACCUGAGAGGGUGAACGGCCACACUGGGACUGAGACACGGCCCAGACUCCUACGGGAGGCAGCAGUAGGGAAUCUUCCGCAAUGGGCGCAAGCCUGACGGAGCAACGCCGCGUAAGCGAAGAAGGCCUUCGGGUUGUAAAGCUUAGUCACUCGGGAAGAGCGGGUGGGAGAGGGAAUGCUCCCACCGAGACGGUACCGGGAGAGGAAGCCCCGGCAAACUACGUGCCAGCAGCCGCGGUAAUACGUAGGGGGCAAGCGUUGUCCGGAAUCACUGGGCGUAAAGGGUGCGUAGGCGGUGUUGUGGGUCUGAGGUGAAAGGUCAGGGCUCAACCCUGAGAAUGCCUUGGAAACUGCAAGACUUGAGUGCUGGAGAGGCAAGGGGAAU